GUUUAUGUGCGUGUGUGUGCACGUGCGCGCGCGCACACACAUACACACACACACACACACACACACACACACACACACACAUA
rnacentral:miRNA from 1 species